rnacentral:rRNA from 1 species
GAUGAACGCUGGCGGCGUGCUUAACACAUGCAAGUCGAACGAUGAAGCCCAGCUUGCUGGGUGGAUUAGUGGCGAACGGGUGAGUAACACGUGAGUAACCUGCCCUUAACUCGGGGAUAAGCCUGGGAAACUGGGUCUAAUACCGGAUAGGAGCGUCCACCGCAUGGUGGGUGUUGGAAAGAUUUAUCGGUUUUGGAUGGACUCGCGGCCUAUCAGCUUGUUGGUGAGGUAAUGGCUCACCAAGGCGACGACGGGUAGCCGGCCUGAGAGGGUGACCGGCCACACUGGGACUGAGACACGGCCCAGACUCCUACGGGAGGCAGCAGUGGGGAAUAUUGCACAAUGGGCGCAAGCCUGAUGCAGCGACGCCGCGUGAGGGAUGACGGCCUUCGGGUUGUAAACCUCUUUCAGUAGGGAAGAAGCGAAAGUGACGGUACCUGCAGAAGAAGCACCGGCUAACUACGUG